rnacentral:rRNA from 1 species
UACGUAGGGUGCGAGCGUUGUCCGGAAUUAUUGGGCGUAAAGAGCUCGUAGGCGGCCUGUUGCGUCCGCUGUGAAAUCCCGGGGCUCAACCCCGGGCGUGCAGUGGAUACGGGCUGGCUAGAGGCAGGCAGGGGAGAACGGAAUUCCCGGUGUAGCGGUGAAAUGCGCAGAUAGUCGGGAAGAACACCGGUGGCGAAGGCGGUUCUCUGGGCCUGUACUGACGCUGAGGAGCGAAAGCGUGGGGAGCGAACAGG